rnacentral:rRNA from 1 species
UCUGGCGACCGGCGCACGGGUGAGUAACACGUAUCCAACCUGCCGAUAACUCGGGGAUAGCCUUUCGAAAGAAAGAUUAAUACCCGAUGGCAUAAUUAGACCGCAUGGUUUGAUUAUUAAAGAAUUUCGGUUAUCGAUGGGGAUGCGUUCCAUUAGGCAGUUGGUGAGGUAACGGCUCACCAAACCUUCGAUGGAUAGGGGUUCUGAGAGGAAGGUCCCCCACAUUGGAACUGAGACGCGGUCCAA